rnacentral:rRNA from 1 species
UCUGUAGCAUUUCUAAUAUUGUAUGUGGAUGGCAUAUUAUUGAUUGCAAAUGAUAUAGAAUUUUUGGAAAGCUUAAAGGGUUAUUUGAAUAAGAGUUUUUUAAUGGAAGACCUGGGUGAAGAUGCUUACAUAUUGGGCAUCAAGAUCUAUAGAGAUAGAUCAAGACGUUUGAUAGGACUUUCACAGAGCACAUACCUUGACAAGAUUUUGAAGAAGUUCAAAAUGGACCAUUCGAAGAAGGGGUUCUUUCCUUUGCAAGGUGUGAAGUUGAGUAAGACCCAAAGCCCGACCAUGAACAGAAGAAAAAGUCGUCCCCUAUGCCUCAACCAUAAGCUCCAUAAUGUAUGGCAUGUUGUGUACCAGACCUGA